AUGCAAUAUUGCAAAGGCGUCAAAAUUCCUAUGCCCACAAAUGGCCAUCUGUGCACUGAUGAAAAUGGUAUUGACUUCGAUCAUAAGGUAUACCGCUCCAUGAUUAGUUCUUUAUUGUAUUUAUGUGCAUCUAGGCCGGAUAUAAUGCUUAGUGUUUGCAUGUGUGCCCGAUUUCAAGCUACACCGAAGGAAUCACACCAUAAGGCUGUGAAACAUAUUCUUCGAUAUCUAGCUCACACACCAACACUUGGAUUAUGGUACCCCAAGGGCUCAUUUUUUGAUCUCAUUGGAUAUUCUGACUCUGACUAUGCUAGUGAUCGUGUGGACCGCAAGUCAACAUCUGGUACAUGUCAUUUCCUCGGACGAUCUUUGGUCUGUUGGUCCUCGAAGAAACAGAACUGCGUAUCACUGUCUACUGCUGAAGCUGAGUACAUUGCUGCUGGUUCUUGCUGUGCUCAACUGCUAUGGAUGAAGCAAACUCUCAAGGACUACGGUGUCAACGUGAAGAAUGUGCCUCUCCUCUGUGACAAUGAGAGUGCCAUCAAGAUUGCUCACAACCCAGUUCAGCACUCGAACACAAAGCACAUUCAGAUUCGUCAUCAUUUUCUUCGCGAUCAUGUGUUAAAGGGCGACAUUUCUAUUGAGCAUGUGAAGACUGAAGAACAGCUAGCCGAUAUCUUCACAAAGCCCUUGGAUGAGAAGAGAUUUAGCAAGUUGCGGUGUGAGCUAAAUAUCCUAGAAUCUUCGAGUGUUCUUUGA
rnacentral:rRNA from 1 species